rnacentral:rRNA from 1 species
UGGUUGAUCCUGCCAGUAGUCAUAUGCUUGUUUCAAGGAUUAAGCCAUGCAAGUCUCAGAGUAAAUGGAUUAACAGUGGAUCUGCAAACGGCUCAUUAAAUCAGCUACAAUCUACGAGGGAACGCAGCCUUAUGGCGCCAGUGGGAUAACAAUGGUAACUCCAUUGCUAAUACCUGUCCGAAAAAUCCCACUCGGUUCAAGCUUGUGGGGGAGACUCCGCGGGCUCGAGGGGGAUGCAGUUGACCGAAACGAGAACCAACGCUAGCAAUAGCAGUGGUUAUGUGGAUGAAACAGGUCAACCGAGCAAUAGCACAUGCUUUAAGCUGGUGCAAGCCCUCAAGAGUAUCUGCCCUAUCAGCUUUUGACGGUAGUGUAGUGGACUACCGUGGCAGUAACGGGUAACGGGGAAUUAGGGUUCGAUUCCGGAGAGGGAGCCUGAGAAACGGCUACCACAUCUAAGGAUGGCAGCAGGCGCGCAAAUUGCCCAAUAGUAACACUACUGAGGCAGCGAAGAGAAAUAGAAACUUCUGAUGCUACGCAUUAUGGAGCUUUCAAUGGAUGAUAUCUAAACCUGUCAAUGAGUAACGAUUGGUGGACAAGUCUGGUGCCAGCACCCGCGGUAAUUCCAGCACCAAUAGCGUAUAUUAAUGCUGCUGCUGUUAAAAAGCUCGUAGUUGGAUCCAGAGUUCAGGUUGUAGGAUGCCAUGCUUUACUGUUUGGGCGUGUAGUUCAGGCAGUGGGUAUGGGUGAAACAUUCUGCAUGAAAACCUGCGCUCUAUCAAGGUGGUAAUGGUGCCCUGCGAGUAGGCCUUCGGGUUGAAAGCACUUCCGCGUAUACCAUGCGCUCACGGGGUCGACCACCGAUGUUACUGUGAACAAGCCAGCGUGUCCAAAGCAGGCGUACGUCAUGAAUGGUAAAGCAUGGAAUAACAAGGGAUCGACUAUCUCGGAUCUUCUUGUUGGUUUUCAAACCGAGAAUGGGUAAUUCAAGCAGUCCGGUCCCUCUGAGGCGCAAGCCGAUGAGAACCUCUGCCGAACGGGAUCAAUAGGGACUGCCGGGGUCGUACGUACUCAUGCGUCAGAGGUGAAAUUCUUAGAUCGCAUGAAGACGAACUUCUGCGAAAGCAUUCGACAAGAAUGUCUUCAUUAAUCAAGAACGAGAGUGUGGGGAUCGAAGAUGAUCAGAUACCGUCGUAGUCCACGACUGUAAACGAUGCCGUCUCAGGAUCGAAGGGCGCAUAAUUUCAUGACCCCUACGGCACUACCCUCUGAAACGAGAAAUCAAAGAUUAUGGGUUCAGGGGGGAGUACAUUCGCAAGGCUGAAACUUAAAGGAAUUGACGGAAUGACACCACCAGGCGUGGAGUAUGCGGCUUAAUUUGACCCAACACGGGGAAUUUUACUAGGUCAGGACAAUGUAGGAUUGACAGAUUGAGAGCUCUUUCUCGAUUAAUUGUGUGGUGGUGCAUGGCCGCUCCUGGUUGGUGGAGUGAUUUGUCUGGUUGAUUCCGUUAACGAACGAGAUCUCGACCCUUAAAUAGGUGACC